CCUACGGGGGGCAGCAGUGGGGAAUAUUGGACAAUGGGCGCAAGCCUGAUCCAGCCAUGCCGCGUGGAUGAUGAAGGCCCUAGGGUUGUAAAGUCCUUUUAACGGGGAAGAUAAUGACGGUACCCGUAGAAUAAGCCCCGGCUAACUUCGUGCCAGCAGCCGCGGUAAUACGAAGGGGGCUAGCGUUGCUCGGAAUUACUGGGCGUAAAGCGCACGUAGGCGGACCGAUAAGUCGGGGGUGAAAUCCUGGAGCUCAACUCCAGAACUGCCUGCGAAACUGCCGGUCUUGAGUUCGGGAGAGGUGAGUGGAACUGCGAGUGUAGAGGUGAAAUUCGUAGAUAUUCGCAAGAACACCAGUGGCGAAGGCGGCUCACUGGCCCGAUACUGACGCUGAGGUGCGAAAGCGUGGGGAGCAAACAGGAUUAGAUACCCUAGUAGUC
rnacentral:rRNA from 1 species